GUGAGGAAUAUUGGUCAAUGGGCGAGAGCCUGAACCAGCCAAAUCGCGUGAAGGAAGGCGGUACUAAGUAUUGUAAACUUCUUUUAAUGGGGAGUAAAGAGGGGCACGAGUGCUCCGUUGCAAGUACCCAUUGAAUAAGGAUCGGCUAACUCCGUGCCAGCAGCCGCGGUAAUACGGAGGAUCCGAGCGUUAUCCGGAUUUAUUGGGUUUAAAGGGUGCGUAGGCGGGUUGUCAAGUCAGCGGUGAAAGGUUACGGCUCAACCGUAAGAAGGCCAUUGAAACUGACAAUCUUGAGUGUAGAUGAGGUGGGUGGAAUUCGUGGUGUAGCGGUGAAAUGCAUAGAUAUCACGAGGAACACCGAUUGCGUAGGCAGCCCACUGGGCUACAACUGACGCUGAGGCACGAAGGUGCGGGGAUCAAACAGGAUUAGAAACCCUAGUAGUCC
rnacentral:rRNA from 1 species